GUAGCUGGGAUUACAGGCACCUGCCACCACGCCCAGCUAAUCUUUGUAGUUUUAGUAGAGACGCAGUUUCACCAUGUUGGACAGACUGGUCUUGAACUCCUGAUCUCAAGUGAUCCACCCACCUCAGCCUCCCAAAGUGCUGGGAUUACAUGCGUGAGCCACCGUGCAUGGUCUCUUGCUGUUUUUAUACUUUCUCUAUAUCCAUAUAGAGAUGUUUCGCAUGUAAGUUUUUGUUUCUUUGAAUUUCUCAUUUUUAUUACCCCUGCAUCAUCUGCUACCCUGAAGGAUCUGGAGGUAAGAGGCCCUGGGCCAGGGUGCAGUGACCCUGCAGGCCAGCCCUCCAACCUCCUCUCACAGUGGGAGCUGGGUGCCCCUCUGCCAACUGAGACAGUCCACACACACCCCAGCCCUAAUGAUUGUUCUCUCUACCUCUCCCCGCAGUCCUCCUCCAACUCCUCCUCUCUGCAUGCGCCUCAGAGCCGGUACCAAGAACUGGAAGUAGCCCUGGACUCAAGCUCCGCAACAAUCAAUCAACUCAAUGAAAACGUAGAAUCAUUGAACAGUGAGAACAAGAGCGCACCGCAGUUGGAGCAGCAAGUAAAGGAGCUGCAGGAGAAGCUGAGCGAGGAGAUGAAGGAGGACAUCUGGACACUGAGGAGGAGGAGGUGCCUCAGCCCAUGUCACGCAUCCUGGAGGACCUGGAGAGCCGGGAGGCCAUGGAUCCAGGCUGUGGAUGAGUGGCUGGUGAACAGGGGCCUGACACCCCCUAAAGGUCUCCUUCCUCUACAGUGUGAAAAGAAAAGAUCCUGAAGCUCACGGCUGAUGCCAAGUUUGCUCCUGGUGUAGCAGUAGCAGUGCCUGUGUCUCCAGGGUGCAUGGGAGCUUUGAGCUGAAGUUAAGAGGGCAACAGGGAGGUGGCUGGGCCCACAGUGACACCCCCUGUCCCACCCACAGGUCCUUCGGAGUCAGGCGAUGUGAAGGCCACAGUGGCAGUGCUGAGUUUCGUCCUCUCCAGUGUGGCCAAGCACAGUGUCGAUGGCGGAUGCUUGUCCAGUGAAGUGCAGCAGCUGGGGCUGCCCAAAG
rnacentral:lncRNA from 10 species